AUCCCAUGAUGGGGACACAUUCUGAUCAGGUCUUUGAAUCUCUCCCAAGCUUCAUAAAUAGACUCAUUGUCAUGCUGGAUGAAAUUGUUGAUCUUCGAUCUCAGCUU